rnacentral:rRNA from 1 species
UACAGAGACUGCAAGCGUUAUUCGGAUUCACUGGGCGUAAAGGGUGCGCAGGCGGCCAAGUGUGUUAGGCGUGAAAGCCUGGGGCUUAACCCCAGAAUUGCACCUAAAACUACAUGGCUAGAGCAUUGGAGAGGGUAGCGGAAUUCACGGUGUAGCAGUGAAAUGCGUAGAUAUCGUGAGGAACACCAGAGGCGAAGGAGGCUACCUGGACAAUUGCUGACGCUCAGGCACGAAAGCGUGGGGAGCAAAAGGG